CCCGCUGAACUUAAGCAUAUCAAUAAGCGGAGGAAAAGAAACUAACAAGGAUUCCCCUAGUAACUGCGAGUGAAGAGGGAAAAGCUCAAAUUUGAAAUCUGGCGGUCUUUGGCUGUCCGAGUUGUAAUUUAGAGAAGUGUUACCCGAGCUAUACCGUGUAUAAGUCUCCUGGAAUGGAGCGUCAUAGAGGGUGAGAAUCCCGUCUUUGACACGGAUAAUAGUUCAUUGUGGUGCGCUCUCAAAGAGUCGAGUUGUUUGGGAAUGCAGCUCUAAAUGGGUGGUAAAUUCCAUCUAAAGCUAAAUAUUGGGGAGAGACCGAUAGCGAACAAGUACCGUGAGGGAAAGAUGAAAAGAACUUUGGAAAGAGAGUUGAACAGUACGUGAAAUUGCUGAAAGGGAAACGCUUGAAGUCAGUCGCGUUAGCUGGGGAUCAGCCUUCCUUUUGGUUGGUGUACUUCCUAGUUGACGGGUCGGCAUCAGUUUUGACCAGUGGAUAAGAGUUUGAGGAAUGUGGCAUCUUCGGGUGUGUUAUAGCCUCUUGCUGUAUACAUUGGUUGGGACUGAGGAAUUCAGCACGCCGCAAGGCCGGGUUUUUAACCACGUUCGUGCUUAGGAUGCUGGCAUAAUGGCUUUAGUCGACCCGUCUUGAAACACGG
rnacentral:rRNA from 1 species